AUUGAACGCUGGCGGCAUGCCUUACACAUGCAAGUCGAACGGCAGCACGGGUGCUUGCACCUGGUGGCGAGUGGCGAACGGGUGAGUAAUACAUCGGAACAUGUCCUGUAGUGGGGGAUAGCCCGGCGAAAGCCGGAUUAAUACCGCAUACGAUCUACGGAUGAAAGCGGGGGACCUGCGGGCCUCGCGCUAUAGGGUUGGCCGAUGCCUGAUUAGCUAGUUGGGGGGGUAAAGGCCUACCAAGGCGACGAUCAGGAUCUGGUCUGAGAGGACGACCAGCCACCCGGGGAGUGAACCACGGCCCAGACGCCUACGGGAGGCAGCAGUGUGGAAUUUUGGACAAUGGGGGAAAGCCUGAUCCAGCGAGGCCGCGUGUGUGAAGAAGGCCUUCGGGUUGUAAAGCACUUUUGUCCGGAAAGAAAUCCUUGGCCCUAAUACGGUCGGGGGAUGACGGUACCGGAUGAAUAAGCACCGGCUAACUACGUG
rnacentral:rRNA from 1 species